rnacentral:rRNA from 1 species
CCCUAUGGGGCGCAGCAGGCGCGAAGUCUUUACACUGCACGAAAGUGUGAUAAGGGAACUCUGAGUGCUCAUGCGUUGCAUGGGCUUUUGCCAAGAGCAAAUAUCUUGGAGAAUAAGCGGUGGGCAAGACCGGUGCCAGCCGCCGCGGUAACACCGGCGCCGCUAGUGGUGGCCGUGUAUUUGGCCUAAAGCGUCCGUAGCUGGUUGAAUAAAUUUCUUGUGAAAUCGUUAAGCUCAACUUAACGGCGUGCAGGAAAGACUGUUCAACUUGGGACCGGGAGGAGUUAGAGGUAUUCUGUGAGGAGCGGUAAAAUGCUAUAAUCCACAGAGGACCACCGAUGGCAAAGGCAUCUAACUAGAACGGAUCCGACAGUGAGGGACGAAAGCCAGGGGAGCAAAACGGAUUAGAUACCCGAGUAGUCCUGGCCGUAAACGCUGCGAGUUAGGUAAUGCACAUUCUUUGAGAAUGUGCAGUAUCGAAGCGAAGGCGCUAAACUCGCCGCCUGGGGAGUAUGGUCGCAAGGCUGAAACUUAAAGGAAUUGGCGGGGAGACACCACAAGGGGUGCGGCGUGCGGUUUAAUUGAACUAAACGCCGGAAAUCUCACCAGGGCCGACGGCAGAAUGAAGGUCAGUCUAAAGGGCUUACCUAACGAGCCGAGAAGAAGUGCAUGGCC